AACGAACGCUGGCGGCAUGCCUAACACAUGCAAGUCGAACGAGACCUUCGGGUCUAGUGGCGCACGGGUGCGUAACGCGUGGGAACCUGCCCUUAGGUUCGGAAUAACUCCCCGAAAGGGGUGCUAAUACCGGAUAAUGUCUUCGGACCAAAGAUUUAUCGCCUUUGGAUGGGCCCGCGUUGGAUUAGCUAGUUGGUAGGGUAAAAGCCUACCAAGGCGACGAUCCAUAGCUGGUCUGAGAGGAUGAUCAGCCACACUGGGACUGAGACACGGCCCAGACUCCUACGGGAGGCAGCAGUGGGGAAUAUUGGACAAUGGGCGAAAGGCUGAUCCAGCAAUGACGCGUGAGUGAUGAAGGCAUUAGGGUUGUAAAGCUCUUUUAACCGGGAUGAUAAUGACAGUACCGGGAGAAUAAGCUCCGGCUAACUCCGUG
rnacentral:rRNA from 1 species